GGGCAGCGACGGCAUCUCCCGCACGCCUCUUCAUUCGUCGGCGCAAGUUCGAUCUUGUCCGUGGUCGGUUUUCCUGUGCUGCAUACCUAUUGCGAGGGCAUUCGGUUGGCUAAAACGUUCCCAUCUCCGCCUUGUGCUGCUGCCUGCUCGUGCGGGCAGCGGCACGGGGUGGAUCUCAUGGCGGCCGUCGUGUUUCGCACCGCAUCCACCUGUAUUGGUGUUUGGGUAGGCGACCCACGACGUGCUGCCCGUUGUCUCGGGUAUGGAACAUCGGGUGGGUACGAGGCAUUCGCCUCCGAUCGCCACACAAAUUGCGUUCUACGCUCUUUGCRAACGACGGCCGAGCUCGGUCUUUGGCGGUGCACUCGCUGCACGGUCGAAGCUGCGCCGGCGUCGGUGAGGAAUGCUACCUGGUUGAUCCUGCCAGUAGUCAUAUGCUUGUCUCAAAGAUUAAGCCAUGCA
rnacentral:misc_RNA from 1 species